CUAGCUUGCUAGUUGCUGACGAGUGGCGGACGGGUGAGUAAUACUUAGGGAUCUGCCUCUGUGUGGGGGAUAACUAUUGGAAACGAUAGCUAAUACCGCAUAACGUCUACGGACCAAAGAGGGCUUCGGCUCUCGCGCAGAGAGGAACCUAAGCGAGAUUAGCUUGUUGGUGAGGUAAAGGCUCACCAAGGCGACGAUCUCUAGCUGUUCUGAGAGGAAGAUCAGCCACACUGGAACUGAGACACGGUCCAGACUCCUACGGGAGGCAGCAGUGGGGAAUAUUGCACAAUGGGGGCAACCCUGAUGCAGCCAUGCCGCGUGUGUGAAGAAGGCCUUCGGGUUGUAAAGCACUUUCAGUUGUGAGGAAAGGUUAGUAGUUAAUACCUGCUAGCUGUGACGUUAACAACAGAAGAAGCACCGGCUAACUCCGUGCCAGCAGCCGCGGUAAUACGGAGGGUGCGAGCGUUAAUCGGAAUUACUGGGCGUAAAGCGCACGCAGGCGGUCUGUUAAGCUAGAUGUGAAAGCCCCGCGCUC
rnacentral:rRNA from 1 species